UACACAGACGUUGAGUUCCUUUGUAAUGGCAGUUACAAAGCCGAAGAAAAGCAGAAGAGGUGUUCUAGUGUCUAUCUUAUGCGCACUUCUCUGCACUUCCUGCAUAGCCAUGUGAGUAAAAGGCAUGCGUAUUUUCCUUCCGUUUUCUUGGAAACGAUUUUGGAUAUCCUGCAUGUCCCUAAGACAAUUCAUCUGGGCGGAGCCAAAUGAUAUUCCAAUGCUAUCAGCGAGAUGUCUAAUUGUCAAGCGAAUGGGCAACAAGUAUAGCUUAGCAAAGCUCGUGCUUACACACCAGCAUACUUGUGAUAUUUAAGUAGUUGCAACUGCAAGUUUCCUUGUCAACAUACAUAUCAUUUGACUGAAUGACCGUGGCGACAAGCUUUACGAAAUGGAGAAAAGCUAUCAAGUCAUAAAAGGGAUACGGUAAACCAAACUGACGCUGCUGCCAAGCAAUUGAAAACGCUGCAGGCACAGAGACAAGUGAGAGAUAUGAACGCGAAGGGCCGUUAACUAGAGUCAUAUCCUUGGAGCAACUAAAACUAUAAAAGGCAACGAAAGCUGAAACUAAACUGAGGAAAUACAUACUUACAUGUGUAUGUAUAUACAACUAAUGGAGCGUUCAAACCGGAAUUUUUUGGCGCAAAGAGAGCUGUAUCAGAACUACCAACUCGCAAUUGUAGGAUUCAGUGAGGUGUGCUUGCUACUAGAAAUGAAGAAAAUUUUGAAAUGCCAGAGUCAAACAUGAAAUAGCAAAGCUUUUGCGAAUAUAAAUAAUAAACAUUUAUUAUUCAGCGAAUUGAUACAAAAUGUUAUAUUUGCUCACAAGUGAUUAUUUAAAUAUAUUUCGCUGGAGAGUUGUGGAUA